AUUGAACGCUGGCGGAAUGCUUUACACAUGCAAGUCGAGCGGCAGCGCGGGGCAACCUGGCGGCGAGCGGCGAACGGGUGAGUAAUACAUCGGAACGUACCCAGUUGUGGGGGAUAGCCCGGCGAAAAGCCGGAUUAAUACCGCAUACGACCUGAGGGUGAAAGGGGGGGAUCGCAAGACCUCUCGCAGUUGGAGCGGCCGAUGGCGGAUUAGCUAGUUGGUAGGGUAAAGGCCUACCAAGGCGACGAUCCGUAGCUGGUCUGAGAGGACGACCAGCCACACUGGAACUGAGACACGGUCCAGACUCCUACGGGAGGCAGCAGUGGGGAAUUUUGGACAAUGGGGGCAACCCUGAUCCAGCCAUUCCGCGUGAGUGAAGAAGGCCUUCGGGUUGUAAAGCUCUUUCGGCAGGAACG
rnacentral:rRNA from 1 species